rnacentral:tRNA from 1 species
GAUCAGGUAUUCAUAUUAUGAUUUAAGAUUGCAAAUCUUAAGGUGGUUAUUCUCUGAUUU